rnacentral:lncRNA from 1 species
UGAGCUGGAUUGGAGCAGAACUGCCAAGUAGCACGAGGUGAGUGCGAAGGGAUCCAUCUUGCUUUGCAGGUGCUGUGGCAGGCUCUCCACAGAAGCGGUUGAGGAUUUGAGAAGAGGUUGCAGCUCAUCAAGGAGCGACACGUGCAGGGAUGGCUUGAAAAGGCCCACGGAGUACCACGGUGGAGCAGGGUUCCACGCUGCAGCCCGUGGAGGAGACCACAGUGGAGCAGGUGGCCCUGCACCGAUGGAGGCUGCCGCCUGUGGAAGACCCCUGCCGGAGCAGAAUCCAGGCCGGACCUGUAGCCCGGGGAGAGGAGACCACGCAGGAGCAGGUGACCUGGCAGGAGCUGCUGCCCGUAGGGGAGCCAGGUUGGAGCAGUUUUCUCCUGAGGGAUGGACCCCGUGGUACGGACCCAUAUCUGGAG